rnacentral:lncRNA from 1 species
GGGAAACAAUAUACAUCAUGAUCCUAUUUAUUGCUCUAUAAUGAUGCUUUAUCAAAGAGUUUAUAAACCUGAAAACAACACCAAAAAAAAUGUUACAUCUAACCUAGUGUGAGUUAGGUAACUUAGUCCUCCCCCUAUACUUCUAUAAUAACCAAGAUCUCCUUUUCCAAUAAUUCAUAUUCAUUGGAGUAGUAGCCAUUUUGCUGUCA